rnacentral:rRNA from 1 species
GACGAACGCUGGCGGCGUGCCUAAUACAUGCAAGUCGAACGCAGUGGGGACGGUUUCGUAACACGUGGGUAACCUCCCAUCAGAGGGGAUAACCCUUGGCAACAGGUGCUAAACCGCUACUGAUGGAUGGACCCGCGGUGCAUUAGCUAGUUGGGGGGGUAACGGCCCACCAAGGCCACGAUGCAUAGCCGACCUGAGAGGGUGAUCAGCCAAACUGGAACUGAGACACGGCCCAGACUCCUACGGGAGGAAGCAGUAGGGAAGAUUGGGCAAUGGACGAAAGUCUGACCGAGCAAUGCCGCGUGAGUGAAGAAGGUUUUCGGAUCGUAAAACUCUGUUGUUAGAGAAGCGGUAUCUAACCAGAAAGCCACGGCUAACUACGUGCCAGCCGCCGCGGUAAUAC